GCUGGCGAAUGGGGGAAAGUGGCCGGUCUGAUUAAUCGGUCACCGGCAUACACGCUCCAGCCUCCGCCAGGAACCGGGCGAUAGCCCCGAUUAACCCUUUCGGCACCCAGCGCACACCCCCAGCGCGGCUCUGAGAUGCUCCAGAGGACGGAGGCGAUAAGGCGACGUUUGGCGAUGACCCGCUCUGGGACGCGGGCGAUCGCACAGCAGCGCGUGCUAAUCUGCACAUCCGCGGUGCCGCGGCUGCUCGUCAGCGGGGCAGCCCCAGCCCCGGGCCGUUUGCUAGCUAAUUCCUGGGGGAGGCAACAUGAAUGGAGACUGUCUUCAGUGCCAUUCAGCUGAUUUAAAUGUUCCUCAUAUCCAGGAGCAAGGAUCUGUGCCUCUGCUUCAUCCUUGCCCUCUCCAGGAGUUGCCAGCUCUGGACACCAGCAGAAGCACCUGGAGACUUACCUAGGAAACGCUUGGCUCGCGCUGAGCGCUGACGGCAUCCCUUUGCAACGCAACACCAAUGCCUGGCCUCUCCCCUUGAGACACCCCCAAGGUCUUCUCAAGACACGGUGGGUGACUCCCCGGGGAAGUGGUGGCAGAGGAUGCUCUGGACCAGGGACACCCUACGCAAAGGGACGUCCAGCACAGCACCCGAGUGACCGGCAGCAGCGGCACGGCCAUGGGCUCUGCCUCCUCGGGAUGGAGGUGGCUUCGCAAAGCAGCACAUCAGAACCAAAGGCAGUUCACGCUGUUUUUCCCCUUGCUGAAUUCCCCACCUCAGGCUCCAGACAGAGUUGUCGUUGGGGUUGCAGCUAACACAGAUUCCUCCCUGACCUAGAAAUAUUCGGAGUACUUGAAAGCUUUCCUAUUCCAACAGACUAGUUUUAGCACCUUGAAGCCUGGCGAGUGCCAGCAGCAGGUGUAAUAUGAAGAAAACCCAAAGCCAGAAGCCGACAUACCGUCCUGCGCCCUCGGAGACUGCAGGAAUGAGAGGGAAGCUGCGUGCCGUAGGGGAGAUGAAAGAUGCUGCAAUGACUUUUUGCUGACAUGUACAAAUGUGAUCCUGACUAUUAACUUUAAUGACCUGCCAUUAUGUGAGGGAAAAAGGAGGAGGGAUCUAAUUUUUUAUAAUUACUUUAAUUGCCACCCUGUGGUCUUGUUUUGUGCUGCUGGUUUUGCAGUCAGGUG